ACGAACCUGAGGCGUGAGGAAAUCACGGGGCCAAGAUCGCUCGGCAGCACAGGCGAAGGCCUCCCUGCCGGGAGUGUUAAACGUGCGCGGGCGCGAAAAGUUCCGCGGGCGGUCGCGAUUUUUG
rnacentral:sRNA from 1 species